AAUCAACGCUGGCGGCGUGCCUAACACAUGCAAGUCGAACGCGGUUACCCCGCAAGGGGGUAACUGAGUGGCGAACGGGUGAGUAACGCGUGGGUGACCUACCUUCGAGUGGGGGAUAACGUCCCGAAAGGGACGCUAAUACCGCAUAACAUCCUGCCUUUGAACAGGCGGUGAUCAAAGCCGGGGAUCGCAAGACCUGGCGCUUGAUGAGGGGCCCGCGUCUGAUUAGCUAGUUGGUGAGGAAUGGCCCACCAAGGCAACGAUCAGUAUCCGGCCUGAGAGGGGCGGACGGACACACUGGGACUGAGACACGGCCCAGACUCCUACGGGAGGCAGCAGUGGGGAAUUGUUCGCAAUGGGCGCAAGCCUGACGACGCAACGCCGCGUGGAGGAUGAAGGUCUUCGGAUUGUAAACUCCUGUUGCUCGGGACGAAUGCUCCGACCUAAUACGUCGGAGUGUGACGGUACCGGGUGAGGAA
rnacentral:rRNA from 1 species